CACGCCGGAAGACCAAGGGUUCCUGUCCAACGUUAAUCGGGGCAGGGUGAGUCGACCCCUAAGGCGAGGCAGAAAUGCGUAGUCGAUGGGAAACGGGUUAAUAUUCCCGUACUGGUGAUAAUUGCGAUGGGGGGACGGAGAAGGCUAGGCUAUCCGGGCGACGGUUGUCCCGGUUUAAGGAUGUAGGCAGGUGAAUUAGGCAAAUCCGGUUCACUAUAUGCUGAGGUCCGACGACGAGUCACUACGGUGAUGAAGUAGCUCAUGCCCCGCUUCCAGGAAAAGCCUCUAAGCUCUAGAUUAUCAUUAAUCGUACCCCAAACCGACACAGGUGGUCAGGUAGAGAAUACUCAGGCGCUUGAGAGAACUCGGGUGAAGGAACUAGGCAAAAUGGUGCCGUAACUUCGGGAGAAGGCACGCUGGCGCUAGGUGAAGUCCCUCGCGGAUGGAGCUGAAGCCA
rnacentral:rRNA from 1 species